GGGACACGUGGUAUCCUGUCUGAAUAUGGGGGGACCAUCCUCCAAGGCUAAAUACUCCUGACUGACCGAUAGUGAACCAGUACCGUGAGGGAAAGGCGAAAAGAACCCCGGCGAGGGGAGUGAAAAAGAACCUGAAACCGUGUACGUACAAGCAGUGGGAGCACAGGUUUACCUGUGUGACUGCGUACCUUUUGUAUAAUGGGUCAGCGACUUAUAUUCUGUAGCAAGGUUAACCGUAUAGGGGAGCCGGAGGGAAACCGAGUCUUAAUUGGGCGUUAAGUUGCAGGGUAUAGACCCGAAACCCGGUGAUCUAGCCAUGGGCAGGUUGAAGGUUGGGUAACACUAACUGGAGGACCGAACCGACUAAUGUUGAAAAAUUAGCGGAUGACCUGUGGCUGGGGGUGAAAGGCCAAUCAAACCGGGAGAUAGCUGGUUCUCCCCGAAAGCUAUUUAGGUAGCGCCUCGUGAAUUCAUCUCCGGGGGUAGAGCACUGUUUCGGCUAGGGGGCCAUCCCGGCUUACCAACCCGAUGCAAACUGCGAAUACCGGAGAAUGUUAUCACGGGAGACACACGGCGGGUGCUAACGUCCGUCGUGAAGAGGGAAACAACCCAGACCGCCAGCUAAGGUCCCAAAGUCAUGGUUAAGUGGGAAACGAUGUGGGAAGGCCCAGACAGCCAGGAUGUUGGCUUAGAAGCAGCCAUCAUUUAAAGAAAGCGUAAUAGCUCACUGGUCGAGUCGGCCUGCGCGGAAGAUGUAACGGGGCUAAACCAUGCACCGAAGCUGCGGCAGCGACACUGUGUGUUGUUGGGUAGGGGAGCGUUCUGUAAGCCUGUGAAGGUGUGUCGUGAGGCAUGCUGGAGGUAUCAGAAGUGCGAAUGCUGACAUAAGUAACGAUAAAGCGGGUGAAAAGCCCGCUCGCCGGAAGACCAAGGGUUCCUGUCCAACGUUAAUCGGGGCAGGGUGAGUCGACCCCUAAGGCGAGGCCGAAAGGCGUAGUCGAUGGGAAACGGGUUAAUAUUCCCGUACUUGGUGUUACUGCGAAGGGGGGACGGAGAAGGCUAUGUUGGCCGGGCGACGGUUGUCCCGGUUUAAGCGUGUAGGUGUGUGUUCCAGGUAAAUCCGGUUCACUUUAACACUGAGGCGUGACGACGAGGCACUACGGUGCUGAAGCAACAAAUGCCCUGCUUCCAGGAAAAGCCUCUAAGCAUCAGGUAACAUCAAAUCGUACCCCAAACCGACACAGGUGGUCAGGUAGAGAAUACCAAGGCGCUUGAGAGAACUCGGGUGAAGGAACUAGGCAAAAUGGUGCCGUAACUUCGGGAGAAGGCACGCUGACACGUAGGUGAAGUGAUUUACUCAUGGAGCUGAAGUCAGUCGAAGAUACCAGCUGGCUGCAACUGUUUAUUAAAAACACAGCACUGUGCAAACACGAAAGUGGACGUAUACGGUGUGACGCCUGCCCGGUGCCGGAAGGUUAAUUGAUGGGGUCAGCGCAAGCGAAGCUCCUGAUCGAAGCCCCGGUAAACGGCGGCCGUAACUAUAACGGUCCUAAGGUAGCGAAAUUCCUUGUCGGGUAAGUUCCGACCUGCACGAAUGGCGUAAUGAUGGCCAGGCUGUCUCCACCCGAGACUCAGUGAAAUUGAACUCGCUGUGAAGAUGCAGUGUACCCGCGGCAAGACGGAAAGACCCCGUGAACCUUUACUAUAGCUUGACACUGAACAUUGAGCCUUGAUGUGUAGGAUAGGUGGGAGGCUUUGAAGCGUGGACGCCAGUCUGCGUGGAGCCGGCCUUGAAAUACCACCCUUUAAUGUUUGAUGUUCUAACGUGGACCCGUGAUCCGGGUUGCGGACAGUGUCUGGUGGGUAGUUUGACUGGGGCGGUCUCCUCCUAAAGAGUAACGGAGGAGCACGAAGGUUGGCUAAUCCUGGUCGGACAUCAGGAGGUUAGUGCAAUGGCAUAAGCCAGCUUGACUGCGAGCGUGACGGCGCGAGCAGGUGCGAAAGCAGGUCAUAGUGAUCCGGUGGUUCUGAAUGGAAGGGCCAUCGCUCAACGGAUAAAAGGUACUCCGGGGAUAACAGGCUGAUACCGCCCAAGAGUUCAUAUCGACGGCGGUGUUUGGCACCUCGAUGUCGGCUCAUCACAUCCUGGGGCUGAAGUAGGUCCCAAGGGUAUGGCUGUUCGCCAUUUAAAGUGGUACGCGAGCUGGGUUUAGAACGUCGUGAGACAGUUCGGUCCCUAUCUGCCGUGGGCGCUGGAGAACUGAGGGGGGCUGCUCCUAGUACGAGAGGACCGGAGUGGACGCAUCACUGGUGUUCGGGUUGUCAUGCCAAUGGCACUGCCCGGUAGCUAAAUGCGGAAGAGAUAAGUGCUGAAAGCAUCUAAGCACGAAACUUGCCCCGA
rnacentral:rRNA from 1 species